rnacentral:rRNA from 1 species
GAUGGACGCUGGCGGCGUGCCUAAUACAUGCAAGUCGAGCGAACGGACGAGAAGCUUGCUUUUCUGAUGUUAGCGGCGGACGGGUGAGUAACACGUGGAUAACCUACCUAUAAGACUGGGAUAACUUCGGGAAACCGGAGCUAAUACCGGAUAAUAUUUUGAACCGCAUGGUUCAUAAGUGAAAGACGGUCUUGCUGUCACUUAUAGAUGGAUCCGCGCUGCAUUAGCUAGUUGGUAAGGUAACGGCUUACCAAGGCAACGAUGCAUAGCCGACCUGAGAGGGUGAUCGGCCACACUGGAACUGAGACACGGUCCAGACUCCUACGGGAGGCAGCAGUAGGGAAUCUUCCGCAAUGGGCGAAAGCCUGACGGAGCAACGCCGCGUGAGUGAUGAAGGUCUUCGGAUCGUAAAACUCUGUUAUUAGGGAAGAACAUAUGUGUAAGUAACUGUGCACAUCUUGACGGUACCUAAUCAGAAAGCCACGGCUAACUACGUG